UACGUAGGGGGCAAGCGUUGUCCGGAAUCAUUGGGCGUAAAGCGCGUGUAGGCGGCCCGGUAAGUCCGCUGUGAAAGUCGGGGGCUCAACCCCGGGCCUGCAGCCGAUACGGGCAAACUAGAAUUCGGUAGGGGAGACUGGAAUUCCUGGUGUAGCGGUGAAAUGCGCAGAUAUCAGGAGGAACACCGGUGGCGAAGGCGGGUCUCUGGGCCGAUAUUGACGCUGAGGAGCGAAAGCGUGGGGAGCAAACAGG
rnacentral:rRNA from 1 species